UAUAUAUAUAUAUGAUGAGAAAAUUAUACAUUUACUCUUAUAAGUUUAGUUGCCUUUUCAUUUUAGCCAUUUCUUUUUAUUUUUAUUUUUAUACCAUUGGCAUCUUAUAACUUUGGAUAUUUUUUCUGUUUCAGUUAUUUUUCUUUUUCUUGGUUCGUUUUCAGUCUCCCCCAAUGGUGCAGAUGAUUCUGCCCCUAUCUGGCAUGCCAUGGAAUUCCUCGACAAAGUAGAAGAUGCUACCGGGGAGGAUUCCAUUACUUGUUUGAAGUAGCUGAUCUUGAUUCUGUACGACCCGAGACUCUUCCUAUAGUCACCAAACUGCUUCAUGGUCUCCCAAUGCCUUCUUGCCUGACGAACAUAAGAUCCAGGUCAGUGGCGAUGACAAUCUGCACAGCAAUGAAGCUGCGAUCGAACCUGAGUUGAUAAUUUCAACGUCAGGAAACAAGUAUGGUCUACUAGACACUAAAAAAGCAAAAGAAGAGGUCUAUGAAGGAUUUCCCGAACUUGAGCCAUGAGUGCAGGAGGUUUUUUCCAAAUUCUUCGAUCAAUAGGGCAAAGGAGCUCGAGACUAAGUUGAGUGAUGCGGGAUUCAGUCCUAGCUACAGGCUUCUACAGGAGGUCAAGUUUGAGUCAAGACAAAGAUCAGAGCUUACAGUUCGGGUACUGAGCCAACCAUUUGCUGGUGUUGAAAAACAGCUUUCCUUCGUUGGGUUCUGGUGAUAGUGCCGGAAAGAAUUCCAGUGAGAAUCAGUACGGGGCUGUUCCGCUGUGAGGAUUAUCACUAUGACCUGGACAAGGUGAUCAGGACAGCAAGGCCUGAUGACAGAUGCAUCAAGAGUUUCCUCAAACAAGGGGAUCACUCUCGACCUGUCGCAGGCAUUCGAGAUCACCUGAUCGAGGCGGACAUGGUGCAUCCAUCGGACGUAUGGAGAGCACUGCCAUGAUGUGGUGAACAAAGUGCGCAAGAACUGGAGCAAAGUCCUGCUUGCAGUGUUGAUUUGGCUCAAGCAGAAGGAAGCUGUGUGGGUUGAAUCAGUUCAAGAUGAAUAAGAGGUGGAAGCAGUUGCUUCAUUCCCGGUUACUUGGCACUUCACAGUUGAAACCGCAAGGGCAAACAGGAUCAUAGAGAAUACAGAAACCCUUAAAAUCAACAGAGAUUUUAUGCGCACAAACAGAAUUAGAAACAUUUUUUGCAAGUUUAGGAUAGGAUUUUAUCUGCUCAUGGGCAAUUUAACGCUCUUAGUCAGUUAGGUAGUGAAUUAAUGUGGUUCUUCACUAAGCUCCUUGUUUAGUCAUUAUGACUAAAUGUGUAUUGGCAGGGAAAAUUGAUUCAUAUCAAGUUUGUCUUGCAACUGAAGAAAUUGAACUUGUACAAUGGCAAUGUAGAUCCAUUCAGACCCAAA